rnacentral:rRNA from 1 species
AUUGAACGCUGGCGGCAUGCCUUACACAUGCAAGUCGAACGGUAACGGGCCUUCGGGUGCCGACGAGUGGCGAACGGGUGAGUAAUGUAUCGGAACGUACCUUUCAGUGGGGGAUAACGUAGCGAAAGUUACGCUAAUACCGCAUAUUCUGUGAGCAGGAAAGCAGGGGAUCGCAAGACCUUGCGCUGAUUGAGCGGCCGAUAUCAGAUUAGCUAGUUGGUGAGGUAAAGGCUCACCAAGGCGACGAUCUGUAGCGGGUCUGAGAGGAUGAUCCGCCCCACUGGAACUGAGACGCGGUCCAGGCUCCUACGGGAGGCAGCAGUGGGGAAUUUUGGACGAUGGGCGCAAGCCUGAUCCAGCCAUGCCGCGUGAGUGAAGAAGGCCUUCGGGUUGUAAAGCUCUUUCGGCCGGGAAGAAAUCGUAUGGGUUAAUACCCUGUGCGGAUGACGGUACCGGCAUAAGAAGCACCGGCUAACUACGUGCCAGCCGCCGCGGUAAUAC